UCCAUAUAUCGGUCUCUUUUUCUCUCUCUCUCUCUCUGGAGGAAAGGUGGAGGCGCAGCCUCGUCGGAAGGUGGGCGGUUUGUGUGCGUCUGUAGAACCUAGACGAAGGGUGUUGUCGGAGAUUUUUUGUUUUUCGAAUGCUCCUUGCGUUUUCGACGGUCUUCUUUUCUGAUUCGUUCAACAUUAAGUUGUUAAAGGAGGGUGUCGAAUUUCUUCUUUUGUUAUUUUUUCAUAUUUCACAAGUGGUUGUGGUUUUCUGUGAUUGUAAUGUUAAAGUUGUUGCUUCAUGAGAAUGAGGAUGGUUUUUUAAUAGUGGUUUUGGUUUGAAGUUUUGAAUUUGUAAAGGUUUAAUGAUUUUUUUUUACAGGUUUAUGAAGAAUAUGAGUUUGUGAUGUGGAUUAUGUAGGUAUGUACAUGGUGAAAUUUUGUGAGGAUCGGUAUUUAUAGCCUCCAGGGUGCAAAAAAAUUGUCUAUCGAAAACCCGAACUACUUGUGACUAAAUUUGGUGCAGCAAGCCAAAUGAUGUAGAUUUUGAUUUUUUUGGGUGACAAAAUAGAUUUUUGUUAGUAAUAUUCUUUGGUAGAUUAAAAGGAUAAAUACUUUAUCCAAAAACUAAAUAAUCUGGAUGAACUUGAUAGCGUGUUUUUAUUUUUUUCAUAGGAACAUUUGACACCUUGGGAGGAAGGUAUUCUUCAAUCAUGCAAAGGUAUAGAUGUGAGGAAUUUUACUGGAAGUUCACUUAUUGGAGGUGCUGCUAUUUGGAUAGUGGCCCAACACCCUCAUUCCGUACAGGGUCUAAUUCUCAAGAAGCAGCUUCUCCUGACAAUAUUUUGUUCAUAGAGAACUUGCCUUACGAAACUACCGGUAGAAUGCUUGAAAUGCUCUUUGAACCAUACCCAGGGUUUAAGAAAGUGCGCUUGAUUGAUAAAAAGCCAGAUGAUACUCGUGUGUACAAAGAAGCACUUCAUAGUCACAUGAAUCUCUUUAACAACUGAGGCAUGUCCAACUUUUGAUUUAAAAUUAGUAUAAUCUACUGUGGAAAGUAAUUUGUUUAAUGUGUUCUCAAUUUCUUUUUCUAUCAUUUUGAUGUAAUUACUAUUGUAGUCGAUGAAACAGGCAAAGAAGCUGAAAAAUACGCUUCCAUGGGUCUUUUAAGGAGUCUUAUUAUUGCUCCAACUAGAGAACUUGCACUUCAGAGAGUAAAAAUGAACUGUAGCAUCAACUUCAUAAGCUCUUAUGGGAGUGUGUUUGGUGUGGCAUGUAUGUCAAAAAGCUUUGAGCACAUCUGCAUGCUACAUCAAAAUCAAGAGCCUGAAGGAGCUAACAUGGAGCAAAGUAGAUGAGCUGAUAAAAGGAAAGACACCGGAGGAAAUUGCUCAGAUCUUUUGAGAUGUAGAUGACUAAAUCUCCAAGUUAUUAGAACAUAACGUGCAAAAAAUUGUCUUUAGAGAUGUAGAUGUUUAGUUUACCAUUUAAUUACUUCAUUGGAUCUAAUCCAAUUAGAGUUUACAGAAUGUAUGGAAAUAAAUCCUUAUGCAUUACUUCAUUGGAUCUAAUCCAGUUAGAGUUUACAGAAUGUAUGUAAAUAAAUCCUUAUGCAAUC